rnacentral:rRNA from 1 species
CUCAUCAUCAUGCGUGCGUGUCCGCGUGCCGCGGCCCGUCUUCGCGCUACCCUCGACGCCUUCACCGCCGCCACUGGGCUCGUCAUCAACUAUGCCAAAAGUACGCUCGUCCCCAUGCACGUCGACGCCCCUACCCUGGCAGAGGUGGUCGAAUCGGUGGGCUGCCGGGUGGAAACCUUCCCUCAGACCUACCUGGGGCUGCCGCUGUUGUGCUUCAAGUUGGGGAUCGCCGACUUCCAGUUCAUCAUCGCCAAAGUCGACAGAUACCUGGCGGGGUGGCGUGCCCUCCUCCUCUCUCCCGCUGUCCGCCUUGUCCUGAUCAACGCAGUCCUCGACACCAUCCCUUCCUACGCCAUGGGCGCGCUCAAGCUGCCCCCGAAGGUGGUCAGUGCUCUCGACUCUCUUCGCCGCGCCUUCCUCUGGAACGCCGCGGAGCGCGCGUUGGGGGCGCAAUGCCUGGUUGCUUGGGCUCGUGUGUGUCGCUCACUGGAGGAGGGAGGGCUGGGGGUCCGCGACCUUGCCUCUCAUAACGAUGCCGUGCUGCUGAAGACUCUC